rnacentral:lncRNA from 1 species
ACCGAAUUGGGAUCACAUUUCGGGGAUGAUGCCGUAAUACUCACUGAAAAUGAUUCCCGCUUCUGUUUAGAUAUUGCAAGUACGAAAGAUGGCAAUUUUAUAACAGUGAAUUCUAAUUCAAGAACAUCAUCUGAGGAAAGAACUAUUGUUUCCGAGCUCUCUUGUCUGUUUGCGUUAAUGUAAAUUAUGAAGGUGGAUUCUGCUUGUAAUUUUGUGUUAAUUCUCUUGCUGUACUGCAGGUUUGGUUCAUAAAUGCGAGCAAUCCGCAUACUGGGCUACAAAGGUUUUGUCGUCGUGUCUGUGGAGUUCAGUACUUUCUGGAGCAUCAUCGUGGCAUUUUUUAUGUCCUUACUAAUGCUCCUACGAGUAAACA